rnacentral:misc_RNA from 1 species
AAGUCGUAACAAGGUUUCCGUAGGUGAACCUGCGGAAGGAUCAUUAACACGUAUCCACGUUUAUCAACAAUUCACCACGAACUCGUUCUCUCCGAACAACCUAACUCUUAGCUGUCUCGAUGGAAUUAUAAUGGGUCCCUGUUCUGCUGCAAAGCGGUUCAGUGUGGCAUAUUCUGUCGGACUAUCACUCCUAGAGAGUGUGGCGAAGUAUCUGGAUUGUCGGACCAACUAUCAUUCUAUGGAUCCAACCAUUUUGGAUCUGUAGUCUGGUCACCAUACCAAUUUCACCCUAUUUUACCCAUUUGACUAAUUACUAUAUUCAUGGAGAGAAAUCUCUGUGGAUUCUAAGAUUUAUCUUAACUAAGCACAACUCUUAGCAAUGGAUAUCUUGGUUCUC